rnacentral:ncRNA from 1 species
AGAAGCGCGUGGAACGAUUGAAGUAAACAGCAAGUCCCUGCUGCAGAGAGCUGACGGUCGGUGGAAGUCAGUGCAUACUUGUUUGUUGAAUUACGAUCCGGAGCAUCUCCUGGUGUGAAUCAGGAGACGGUGAACAGCCGUUAUGGAUACAAGUGGCACAGCUGUUGUUGUGCAACAAGGGUGGUACCGCGAUAAGACCUCGUCCCUUUU